UAAAGGGCAGGGAUCCACAAGACUUCUAAGUGUGAGACGGCUCUUUCCCACUCUCGCCAGAUUUAGUCAUCAAAAUAGCGAGGGAGGGAGUCUGUGAAGGCCUCACUGAGAACGUGCCACUGAACAAUAAUUUAAAGAGAGUCGAAUCAGGUAAGUGCAAAGGCCCGGAGACAGAUUGCUUGUUCAAAAAACAGCAAGGAGUCCAAUGAGGGGGGAGAGAGCAUGGCUAUAGAAGAGGUGAGAAAGGUAGUGGGAAGAAGGUGGAGAAUCCAGAUCCUUUGGGGAUUGUGGGUUAUUUUGAGGGUAAUGAAUUUUGCUGUGAGUGAGUUAGGAAGCUAACAGAUUGUUGAGCAGAGAAAUAUGACAGGGUUUUAAAAGAUAACUCUGGUGGUUGUAUUGACAAUAAACUCCCUGGAAGCAAGUAAGGAGACCACUUAAGGGGCUGCAAUUGACUGAGAGACAUCAAAGGCCUAAGUCUAGAAACUUCCACAAUUGUGAGAAAUAAUAAUAAUAAGAUAAUUGUUGAGGUGGUUUGUUAAGCUACAGUAGAUAACCUGAACAAGGGCUGGUCUCUCCACAAUUCCUGCAAUUUGUCCUAAUCUUUGG
rnacentral:lncRNA from 1 species